rnacentral:rRNA from 1 species
CUUGAACGCUGUCGGCAGGCCUAACACAUGCAAGUCGAGCGAGCGGCGGACGGGUGAGUAAUGUAUGGGGACUGCCCGUUAGCUGGGGAUAACUACUGGAAACGGUAGCUAAUACCGCAUACUAUCGGAUAACCCAUAUGGGAUUAGCUAGUAGGUGAGGUAAGGGCUCACCUAGGCGACGAUCCCUAGCUGGUCUGAGAGGUUGAUCAGCAACACUGGGACUGAGACCCGGCCCAGACUCCGACGGAGGCAGCAGUGGGGAAUAUUGCACAAUGGGCGAAAGCCUGAUGCAGCAAUGCCGCGUGUAUGAAGAAGGCCCUAGGGUUGUAAAGUACUUUCAGUCGGGAGGCGUUACCGACAGAGGAAGCACCGGCUAACUCCGUGCCAGCAGCCGCGGUAAUAC